rnacentral:lncRNA from 1 species
GUGGCUAUUUCUGAAGGGUGGCUAGAUGCUUCAUUCAUGAAGUCUUUGGGGGAGGACGGAAGGGUACAACAAGAAGAUGAAAAGGUGAAGCGCUACAAGGAGGAGGUCGUGACCAUAAUUCAUGAGUAUUUUCUUUCAGAUGACAUUCCUGAACUCAUCCGAAGUCUUGAAGAUCUGGGGGCACCUGAAUUUAAUCCAAUUUUCCUGAAGAAGGUGAUCACCCUUGCUAUGGACAGGAAGAAUAGAGAGAAAGAAAUGGCGUCUGUUUUGCUUUCUGCUCUUCACAUUGAGAUCUUCUCAACUGAAGAUAUUGUGAAUGGUUUCGUCAUGCUC